UACGGGGGGGGUAAGCGUUGUUCGGAAUUACUGGGCGUAAAGGGCUCGUAGGCGGCCAACUAAGUCAGACGUGAAAUCCCUCAGCUUAACUGGGGAACUGCGUCUGAUACUGGAUGGCUUGGAUUUGGGAGAGGAAUGCGGAAUUCCAGGUGUAGCGGUGAAAUGCGUAGAUAUCUGGAGGAACACCGGUGGCGAAGGCGGCAUUCUGGACCAAUAUUGACGCUGAGGAGCGAAAGCCAGGGGAGCAAAGC
rnacentral:rRNA from 1 species